ACGCCACCUAUCCCAGCACUCAGCAGGCUGAGGCAGGAGGAUGGCUGUGAGUUUGAGGCCAGCCUGGGCUACAUAGUGAGUUCAAGGCCACCAUGAACUACAUAGCAAGACCCUGUCUCAACAAAACAAAAAAAUAAAAUUAAAAUUAAAUAAAAUAGACACUAUCAUCCCAGCACACCAGAGGCUAAGGUAGGAGGAUUCCCGUGAGUUGCAGGCCAGCCAAGGGACUACAUAGUGAGACCUACCUGUCUCAAAAUCCCCACACCACCAAAAUAUGUAUAUGUACAAGGAUGUGUCCUGGGUCCCAUCCCAGACUUAGCAAGUCAUCCAGGUGAGAAGCAGGGCCCUUCUGCCCCGUGGGAGGAAGGCCCGUACGGCACUGCUGCUUCUCGCACAUUCUCCAAACUGUCCAUCUCUGUGGCUGGGAGCUGACGUGAACAUGUCACUCAGCUCCCGCCCGCCAGGGAGACCUGCUGGCUUCCCAAGCUUCCAUCCCGGGGUGGGCAGGCACUGAGCAGACAGCCUCCCCGGGCCAGGUGGCAGACCAGCCCCUGAGGUACCCUCAGGUGGGGGCGGGUGAGGGCCAGGCCAGGCCAGGCCAGGAGCACAGGGCACAGCUCCAACCCUGGCUUCUUACAGAAAGUCGAUGCCGCUGAGCUGCUCUCGUCUGUACCUGAAGUAUGACCUGUUGGAAGAGGCCGUGGACCUGGUCUCCCAAUAUGUGGAUGCCGUGCUAGGGAAAGGACACCAGUACUUCGGAAUCGAGGUGGGCGCACGGAGGUGUCCUGACGCCUGUGUCACCACGCUGGGGAACGUGAGGCUCUGAAAGCAGACUGCGUGUGCACUGUGGGCUUCAAGCUUCGCCAGUUGUGACACAACCAAAUACUGGCACUGCAGGAUCUAAACAAAGUGGGAAGAGGGUUCCUCUCUCCUCCAUCAAAACUGGUUUGAGCUGGGCAUGGUGGCGCACUUGGGAGCCUGAGGGAGGGGGAUAGCUGAGAGUUUGAGACCACCCUGGGCUACCUAGUGAGACCUUGUCUCAAAAUGAAUGAGUGAACUUAGCGAAGCCAUGUGUGGCGACACGAGCUCUAAUCCCAACACGCCAGGAGCCUGAGGCAGGAGGAUUGUAAGCUUUGCGUCCCUUCAGGACACCUGUGGGAAGCCUAGGUUAGUGCAAAAGCCCUGGGUUCAGUUCCAGGUACCUGAUAGGUUGAUUGGCUGAUAGGUUGAUUAGAUAAGAUCGACCGCAGUGAUUGAACUGAGAAAGGACAGGUUCCCCAGCUGAGAAGAGAAGGAUGCGCACACACGCAGGCAGGCAUUUCUUCCUUGUGGGGAGCGGGCUGGCCGUGGUGGUGCGCUCCUAAGCCCUAUAAUCCCAGCACUGAAAGAGGCCAAGGCAGGAGGAUCCAAGUUUGAGUCCUGCCGGCCAGUUUAGCGAGACCCUGUCUCCAAAAGGCUGGAGAUGUAGAUGGUGAUCGAGCUGUCCUAGGUUUGAUCCCAGCACCGCAUUGUACAGAGAGUCCUGUGAGAACAACGCCCCAGGAGAAAGGGUGCACUCUGGGGUUCCUUUGAACACCGGACGUUUUCCCCCCAGUUCCCCCUGUCGCGACGGCCCCAAUGGUGUGGCUCCCGUACUCCUCCAUUGACCAGCUGCUCCAGGCCCUGGGCGAGAACAGCGCCAACAGCCACAACCUGGCGCUGUCUCAGAAAAUCCUUGACAAACUAGAGGACUACCAGCAAAAAGUUGAUAAGGCCACUCGGGAUCUGCUCUUCCGGCUGAACCUGUGAUCGCAGUGUCCCCAGCACUCUCGGGCCGUGCUGCAGGCGGCUUGGUGGCCAGGGGCACAGCCCACUGCCCUGGUGGGGUCUCCCGCUGGGGAGGGAGGGGAGCCGGGUUCGUGCAGGUGCUAACUGCCUCGAUCUCGGCUGCUUUUGCGCUGUGCAGGAGUCACAGCUUUUUGGAGUUUCUACUUUUGUAAACUAUGGAAGACACUGUUUACCUGCAGGUUAAACCCUCCCUCCCUUGCCGAGCGGCUGCAGUGUCAGCUUGUCCUCACCAACCUCGCACCGAGAUCAGUCACGCAGACCUCUGACUGCCAUACGUUUUCUGUGCCAAUGGGACUAUUGUGGUCCAGAACCAACAAGUAUUUUCUGUAUCGAAAACAGAGGCCAAUGAUUUUGUGUACUCUUUUCCUUAUUUAUUGUGAAGUUUUUAUAUGAUCUUCAAUAAAGUACUAAUUUGCCUAGAGUAAAUGAUGAGGAUCUGUUUAAAGGAGAAUCAUAUUUUGAAUCCAGCAUUUGAGGCAAAAAGUUAAGUAAACUUUUAGCUAAGGAAGAAUCGGAAACCCAUUUACAAAAGCAGCAGACUUGCAAAGUAAAUUCUGCUAACUUCUGAGAUUUAUAAUAAGCUGGAUUUGAUCAGACUGCUAGUCUAAUAAUGUUGAAUACAGAACCAAAAUAUAAACUUCACUGGAUAGAUUCAGUAAAAUUUGGGAGAAAGCAAAAAAAAUAAUAAAAGCCUGGAUUUUGUUCUGUAUAUUAAAAUCUAUCUUUCAAGGAAAUGGUCUGGAUACUACUUGCGUGAGUGCCCUUUGACUCCUCUUGAGUUUUUGGUUAGCCUUGAACUUUUAUACUUUUUUUUUUGGUACUGGGGAUCGAACUCAGUUCCUUGAGCUUGCAAGGCAGGCACUGGAACCACUGAGCUAAAUCCCUGGCCUGAAUUUUUAUACUUUCAAUACCAUGUUUAUGUUGUUUUGUUUUGAGACAGGGUCUCACUCUGUAGCCCAGGCUGAUCUCAAACACACCUCGAUCCCCCUACCUCAGCUUCCCAAGUGCUGGGAUUACAAGUGUGUGCCACCGUGCCCAGCACAUUGUAUACUUUUUUUUUUUGUAUACUUUUAAUAAUAUGAGUUUUGCGAUAGUACUGUUGAUGGAAGAUAUUGAAGUGUAUGGUUAUUUUUAAUAUUGUUUUGUUUUUGUUUUCUGGAGACAAGGUCUUCCCGUGUAGCCCAGCUUGGGCUCAAACUCCUGAUCCUCCUGCCUCAGCUUCCCAAGUGCUGAGGUCUCAGGUGUACACCAGCAUCCCUGGCAAUUUCAUAGUCCUGAAAAAAUUCAAUAGAAUGUCAUGCAUGUUGGUGCACAUCUGUAAUCCCAGCACUUGGGAGGCUAAAGCAAGAGGAUCCAGAAGAUUGUGAGGCCAGCCUGGGCUACAAAGUGAGACCUAGGGCUGGG
ensembl:lncRNA